rnacentral:rRNA from 1 species
AGUGAACGCUGGCGGUAGGCCUAACACAUGCAAGUCGAACGGCAGCACAGGAGAGCUUGCUCUCUGGGUGGCGAGUGGCGGACGGGUGAGGAAUACAUCGGAAUCUGCCCAGUCGUGGGGGAUAACGUAGGGAAACUUACGCUAAUACCGCAUACGACCUUCGGGUGAAAGAGGGGGAUCGCAAGACCUCUCGCGAUUGGAUGAGCCGAUGUCGGAUUAGCUAGUUGGCGGGGUAAUGGCCCACCAAGGCGACGAUCCGUAGCUGGUCUGAGAGGAUGAUCAGCCACACUGGAACUGAGACACGGUCCAGACUCCUACUGGAGGCAGCAGUGGGGAAUAUUGGACAAUGGGCGCAAGCCUGAUCCAGCCAUACCGCGUGGGUGAAGAAGGCCUUCGGGUUGUAAAGCCCUUUUGUUGGGAAAGAAAUCUUUCAGGCUAAUACCUUGGGAGGAUGACGGUACCCAAAGAAUAAGCACCGGCUAACUUCGUG